CCUACGGGUGGCUGCAGUGGGGAAUAUUGGACAAUGGGCGAAAGCCUGAUCCAGCCAUGCCGCGUGUGUGAAGAAGGCCUUCGGGUUGUAAAGCACUUUCAGUGGGGAAGAAAGCCUUGGGGCUAAUACCCUCGAGGAAGGACAUCACCCACAGAAGAAGCACCGGCUAACUCCGUGGCCAGCAGCCGCGGUAAUACGGAGGGUGCGAGCGUUAAUCGGAAUUACUGGGCGUAAAGCGCGCGUAGGCGGUCUGAUAAGCCGGUUGUGAAAGCCCCGGGCUCAACCUGGGAACGGCAUCCGGAACUGUCAGGCUAGAGUGCAGGAGAGGAAGGUAGAAUUCCCGGUGUAGCGGUGAAAUGCGUAGAGAUCGGGAGGAAUACCAGUGGCGAAGGCGGCCUUCUGGACUGACACUGACGCUGAGGUGCGAAAGCGUGGGUAGCAAACAGGAUUAGAUACCCUGGUAGUC
rnacentral:rRNA from 1 species